GUGAUAGAAUAACAGGUUCUGGAUUCACUGAAGUCCCCUUCAGACACCUGUGUCAGUAAAAGGGGGAAAGGCAAGCAAAACGCCAAGGCUUACCAAGUGCAAUAAAUCUGGACCUCAAACUCCAGUCUCAAAUGUUGCUUCUCCUUCCGGCAAUAAUCUCACUCCAGCUGGCCCUUGCCGUUAUGACAGCUCUCUUGGUCUCUUGACAAAAAAAUUUAUCAAUCUGAUCAAACAUGCUGAAGAUGGUACUCUUGAUCAAAAUAAAGCUG